rnacentral:lncRNA from 1 species
GGCGGUAAUGUUAAUAGAAAUUAUCAUUUCAGAGACACUUUGUGGGAUCUUGGGCCAGUUUUUCAACCUCUGGGAGCCUCAACUUUUUCAUCUGUAAAGUGCAGGAAAGUGGGUACUUGAAGCCAGUAAGUGAGCCAGAAAGUGUCAGAGAAAGCAGGAAGUAUCCCAGGAUAAUGACUUAUAAGUCCCAGCGGUCACACACAAGAACCAGGUUGGAAAUCAUUAGGUGUGCUGAUGGGGACAAACCUUUAUUCUCAAUCUGAUGCUCUUCAGAGUGUGCUCCCUCUGGGAACCCAGCUGCCACAUUAGGAGAAGCCCAGGGAGAGGCCAUGAGUAGAUGCUCCAGUUGACAGCCCCAGCACAGCUCAGGCUCCAAGCCAGCCCAGCCCAGGAACCAUACACAUGAGUGAGGAAAUCGCCGGAUGAUUCCAGCGCUGGUGAUUCAAGUCACACCAGCCAAAGUUGGUUACACAGCAAAAGACGAAUGAAAUAGAGUUGCAUUGUGCUAUUGUAUCUACUUUUGUGUUUAUCUGAAAAUUGUCCAUAGUAAAAAGUUUUUAAAAGGUUUCUAUGACCAUUAAAAGAGAAUGCUAGAAAUACACCAUCAGAUCAUCUAAAAGGCAAGAUGCGCUUUGAUAUUUUAUAAUGGUUUUAGCUCUCUGAGGACAGAAUCCCCCUUACAGUAUGGUAAACUUUCGGACUUCUUGCUCAUACGCAUGCAGCAUGCGUGAAAUUCAGGGGCGGUCUAGAUGAGUGUUCUCGGGUUAAAUUGGAGAGCAGUAAGUAUGGUGAGACAGUUGGUAGGAGAGAUUCCAAUAUUCUGAGUGAAAGGGUCAAAUUAGAAUACAGAUUUUAUGUGAAAGGAAGCAGCUCAAACCCUUAUUUCUUCUUCAUGGGUGCUGGGAUUAGGGACAAUCUUUUCUUUUUCUAUCAUAGUUGAUUAACUUCUGGACAGGAGGCUGAUCAACUAAGUUAAAGAUCUUUGUACCUCCCUUUCCCUCUCUUUGAUGCCUGUGCUUUGUGAGGGAAAUGGAAAUAGCUUUAUUUUAUUUCUGUUUAUAAAGUGAAUUCAUGUUCUUUUAAAAAAAUAUAUCUAGAAGCAACUCAAAUGUCCAUUGACAGGUGAAUAUAUAAAAAUGUGUAUAUACAUACAAUGGAAUAUCAUUGAGCCUUAAGACGAAGGAAAUUCUAUCACAUGCUACAGCGUGGGUGAACCAUGAGGAUAUUAUGCUAAGAGAAAUAAGACAGUCACACACACAAAAACAAAUACCGUAUGAUUCCACUUAUAUGAAGCUCCUAGAUUAGUCAAAUUUAUAGAGACAGGAAGCAGAAUGGUGCUUCCCAGGGACUGGGGGAGGGGAGAAUGGGGACUUGUUCAACAGGUACAGAGUUUCAGAUUUGCAAGAUGAAAAAGCUCUGGAGAUCUGGUUCACAACAAGGUGAAUAUGCUUAACAUCACUGGACUGUGCAGUUGAAGAUGGUUGAGAUGAUUUUAUGUUAUGUGUUUUUUACCACAAUAACAUUUUUAAAAAAUCAGUAUAUAUAGAAAAGGAAUAAAGAAGAAACUAAGUAUCUCUAUAAUCUUAUAGCCUAGAAAUAAUUAGCAUUAAUUGGUAUGUAUCCUUUUGUACAUUUUUCCUAUGGAUAGACAAACAUCCACAC